UACAGAGGAGCCAAGCGUUGUCCGGAUUGACUGGGCGUAAAGCGCACGCAGGCGGAUACGCGCGUGGGGUGUGAAAUCUGGCCGCUUAACGGCCAGGCGCCAUCCCAUACGGCGCGUCUGGAGUGAUGCAGAGGUCGAUGGAAUUGCCGGUGUAGUGGUGAAAUGCGUAGAGAUCGGCAGGAACACCCAGGGGGAAACCAGCCGACUGGGCAUUGACUGACGCUGAGGUGCGAGAGCGUGGGGAGCGGAACCGG
rnacentral:rRNA from 1 species